rnacentral:rRNA from 1 species
AGCGAACGCUGGCGGCGUGCUUAACACAUGCAAGUCGAGCGGUAAGGCCCUUCGGGGUACACGAGCGGCGAACGGGUGAGUAACACGUGGGUGACCUGCCCUUAGCUCUGGGAUAAGCCUGGGAAACUGGGUCUAAUACCGGAUAUGACCUCAUGACGCAUGUUGUGGGGUGGAAAGCCUUGUGCGGCUAGGGAUGGGCCCGCGGCCUAUCAGCUUGUUGGUGGGGUGAUGGCCUACCAAGGCGACGACGGGUAGCCGGCCUGAGAGGGCGACCGGCCACACUGGGACUGAGACACGGCCCAGACUCCUACGGGAGGCAGCAGUGGGGAAUCUUGCGCAAUGGGCGAAAGCCUGACGCGGCGACGCCGCGUGAGGGAUGACGGCCU